rnacentral:siRNA from 1 species
UGGAUUGAAGGGAGCUCUU